UCAGGGUUGCUGUCCUGUACAGGUAC
rnacentral:piRNA from 1 species